UGCGUAGGCGGGCUAAUAAGUCCGUGGUGAAAUCUCUCGGCUCAACCGGGAAACUGCCAUUGAUACUGUUAGUCUUGAGUUCGGUUGAGGUAGGCGGAAUGUGUAAUGUAGCGGUGAAAUGCUUAGAUAUUACACAGAACACCAAUUGCGUAGGCAGCUUACUAGACCGACACUGACGCUGAGGCACGAAAACGUGGGGAGCGAACAGGAUUAGAUACCCUGGUAGUCC
rnacentral:rRNA from 1 species